UGUGAUGUCCUGUGAACAGCGGUCA
rnacentral:piRNA from 1 species